rnacentral:rRNA from 1 species
UACGUAGGCAGCAAGCGUUGUUCGGAAUUACUGGGCGUAAAGGGCUCGUAGGCGGCCAACUAAGUCAGACGUGAAAUCCCUCGGCUUAACCGGGGAACUGCGUCUGAUACUGGAUGGCUUGAGAUUGGGAGAGGGAUGCGGAAUUCCGAGGUGUAGCGGUGAAAUGCGUAGAUAUCUGGAGGAACACCGGUGGCGAAGGCGGCAUCCUGGACCAACACUGACGCUGAGGAGCGAAAGCGUGGGGAGCAAACAGG